rnacentral:rRNA from 1 species
UACAGAGGGUGCGAGCGUUAAUCGGAAUUACUGGGCGUAAAGCGUGCGUAGAUGGUUAUGUAAGUCGGAUGUGAAAGCCCCGGGCUCAACCUGGGAAUUGCAUUCGAGACUGCCUAGCUAGGAUGCGGAAGAGGGAAGCGGAAUUUCCGGUGUAGCGGUGAAAUGCGUAGAUAUCGGAAGGAACACCAGUGGCGAAAGCGGCUUCCUGGUCCAGCAUCGACGUUCAGGCACGAAAGCGUGGGGAGCAAACAGG